ACUAUCCUAGGAUGUACGACACUCCCUGUUAUUUUGAACCUACAUCACUUUAAAAGGGAUUCCUAUAUUUACAGGUCGCUGCAAUGCCUCCGUAUGAGUGGACUGCAAAAGCCUGUGUGCGGUUACCCACCUAGCUUUGCUAGGAGUCAAAAUACAGGAAACGGCAUUCCGGGAUAGUU
rnacentral:other from 1 species